CCUACGGGGGGCAGCAGUGGGGAAUAUUGCACAAUGGGGGAAACCCUGAUGCAGCGACGCCGCGUGAGUGAAGAAGUAUUUCGGUAUGUAAAGCUCUAUCAGCAGGGAAGAAAAUGACGGUACCUGAUUAAGAAGCCCCGGCUAACUACGUUCCAGCAGCCGCGGUAAUACGUAGGGGGCAAGCGUUAUCCGGAGUUACUGGGUGGAAAGGGAGCGUAGACGGCAGUACAAGUCUGGAGUGAAAUGCCGGGGCUUAACCCCGGAACUGCUUUGGAAACUGUGAAGCUAGAGUGCAGGAGAGGUAAGUGGAAGUCCUAGUGUAGCGGUGAAAUGCGUAGAUAUUAGGAGGAACACCGGUGGCGAAGGCGGCUUACUGGACUGUAACUGACGUUGAGGCUCGAAAGCGUGGGGAGCAAACAGGAUUAGAUACCCCUGUAGUC
rnacentral:rRNA from 1 species